UGUUUCUGUAGCAUUCACGUCUAAGGCUCAUCCUCUAAACCCUUCCUUCCUUUGUCAGUCUCAUCUCCAUUUCUUUGUAUUCCAAGCCAAAAUCUCUUCAGUUUCUGUUGAAUUCUCAUUUUUUUGGUGAAACCAACAAGGGAAACAAUGUCAGAAGAGAAAACAAAGAGGGAGGUUAAUACCAAAGAAAAUGCUCUCAAGGAUGGUACAAUGAGGAAAUCAUGGUCAACUGAUUCUUUAUCAAGCAGUGCCAUUGGAAGAACCUGUGUGUGCGCUCCGACGAAGCAUGAAGGAUCGUUUCGGUGUCGGAUGCACCACCGUACUUCCUUGAACAACCUUCAAAACUGUAAUACUCAAAUUCAUGGCAAUCCGAAGCCUGAAGCUGAAGAAAACAAGUGAAGAUUUUUUUAAAAAAAUUUAUUUGCAUUAUUAAGUAAGCGUGCUUAGGUUUGCUUGUUUGGUUAUGUAAUAGACAUUGCUUGGUUUAUUUUUAAGCAUUUGAAAAGUCCUAUAUUAUUAUUGUAAAUAUUCCAGUAAUAUUAUUUAUUUGUUUAUUUUUAA